rnacentral:sRNA from 1 species
UUUGAGGCAGCUCGCUCGCCUUUCCCGUCCCUCGCUCCCUCCCUUGCGCCGCCCUCCGCCCUGCAAGGAGCUGCUGCGCCUGGGGCCCCGAGCCCCGGGCUGCCCUGGCUGCGAGGAUGUCCUGGCUUGCCGCUUGCUGGGGGCUAUGGACUCAGGGGCAGGGUACCUUGGUACACCAGCGGGAUGAGUUACAUACUGUUUCCACAGCUCUUUCCCUGCUGAGGCAUAAACAAUAUCUAGGCCUCCUUCACAGAGCACUACCAACAAACUACAAUUCCCCUGAAAUCAAGCUUGGGGGACCAAUGAGCUUAUCAGAAUUAGUUGCAGAGCCUGGGUGAGGGGUCACCUACAGGUGUGUGGGUGGUCCCAAUGCAGUCACACUACUGCAAAUUCCUAGCCCAGCACGGAUGACCUCUCCUAACUGUAUAAAUGGAAUCCCCUUCAGCUAAUUGCCAGCAGAAUUGAGGUGAGAAUCCAAUGGUUGACCCUGCUCCUUCUAUAAGGGACAUUAAUGAACAGUGAUCUCUAUCUAUGUCAGGGGCUGAGGGGGAAGGGAGGUCGCAAUUCUCACAGCUGCGUAGAUGAAGAUGGUGGCUGUCACUCUCCAAGGAGGGCAGUCUACAACACAUACACUACACACACUGAUGGAAUCUGACUGGACGCCUGACUCGGAGGGAGCAAGAGCUUGAACUGAGCUGGAGGAAUAGGUCUAGCAGUUGGGUUGCCGAUCACACAGCCUCCUGGCAGUGGUGUCUGUUCUCAGCCACAGGCAGGUUGCUGAGUGACAUGCAUGUUGAUGAGGGGUACAUGUGUCCUAACUUCCUUCCUAUUGUUCUGAUAGAGGCCAGAACCAGAAGCAACCUGGAGAGGAAAGGGUUCACUUCACCUCUUAGGUUGAAGUCCAUCAUGGAGGGAGGUCAAGGCAGGAGUCUGGAGGCAGAAAUCGGAAGCAGAGAGCAUGAAGAAAUACUGCUUACUGGCUUGCUUCUCCUGGAUUCCUCAGUUCGCUUUAUUAUACAACCCAGGACCACCUGCCCAGGGCUGGCACCACGCAUAGUGAGAUGGGCCCUUCCAUAUCAAUUAUUAAUCAAGAAGAUGCCUCACAGGCUUGUCUCUACUGUGAUCCUGUCUGCUCAGAUGACUCUAGCUUGUGUCAGGUUGACCAAAAACUAAGCAACCACAAAACUCACUUGGAGGGAUAUAGGACCUUAUCUGGUGUGUGUGUGUGUGUGUGUGUGUGUGUGUGUGUGUGUGUGUGUGUGUGACUCUAGGCAUCCAGAAAUGAAUAAAGAAGUUUUCUCAAGAGGCCAGAUGAGGCAGACAUGCUUUGAUACACCCAUAAUCCCAGCACUUGGAAGUGAAGGCAGGAAAAGGAGAGCUGUCAUAGUCGGCUACAUAGCUAGUGCGACUGUCUCAAAACAAGGCCACGUGAUGGUCUCGGCAUGGAGAACCCAUGAGAUCUCGAAUCUCUUUCCAUUCCCACAUGAAGUUCCUGCUAGGCCUGCUGUGCUUUCAUUUGAGGAGAUCCUGCUACUAAAGCCUUCUUGGAACUGUCUGCAGUUGUGUAGUCUAACCCACACACUGACAAGCAGCAGCUCCCGAGACCCAAAGUCUAACCAACAGGAUUCACAAGUCCCGCCAGAGCAUGGGUUUACUUAUAUCUGCCCAAGGGCUGCCAUUUCACCUUUUCAGAAUACAAUACAUUUCCUGGUGCCUCUUACCAAGCAGAAGAAGUGUUGUGUUUACCAGCCUGGAAUGAUUUCUACACACACACACACACACACACACACACACACACACACACACCACUGCCACCAUCUCCAGAGAUUCCGACUCAGUUAAUGUGAGGUGAAACUAAAGAGUACGGAUGG